GUCUAGCAGUUAGUUGCAAUCUCUGCUGUUCCUCCUAGUUCCAGAGAAAACUUGGCCAAAAGUAUCACCAUAAGUUCAGCUGCGGAAACAGGAGUCUGGAACUGGACCUAAGAUGGGGUUAUCCUUGGAGGAAUAGGACUAACCAGACAAGCUGGGCACCUGACAACUUCUGAGAACCAGGAGAGGCCUUCCUCAAGAUCAUCCCUCAGUGACAGAGUAUCCUGACCUUGGAAAAGGGCUAUAAUCUAGUGUCUUUAUAGAGAUGAGGAAGCAGCUUUGACAAGUAGAAGUUAAACCCUAGAUGGUCCAGAACUAUCUAGCCAUUGCUUAAUCUUCUUAAUAUGACACCCAGCCCACUCUGUUAAAUCCAUUGUUACAGUGGAGUAAUAGAAAGCCUCUUGUCCCACAAGCCUAGUUUCCUUGUCAAGAUGAAAAAUAGAAAACAGACCCAGAAAAUGAGGCAAAGGAGAAGAAAGAUAGGGGAAAGUCAAGAAAUGAAGCAGCAAGA